rnacentral:rRNA from 1 species
GUGGGGAAUAUUGGGCAAUGGGCGAAAGCCUGACCCAGCAACGCCGCGUGGGGGAAGAAGUCCCUCGGGAUGUAAACCCUUGUUGUACGGGACGAAGGAAGUGACGGUACCGUACGAGGAAGCCCCGGCAAACUACGUGCCAGCAGCCGCGGUAAUACGUAGGGGGCGAGCGUUGUCCGGAAUCACUGGGCGUAAAGCGCACGUAGGCGGGCUGUUAAGUCGGCCGUGAAAGGCACUGGCUCAACCGGUGUUUGUCGGUCGAUACUGGCAGUCUGGAGUAUGGGAGAGGGAACUGGAAUUCCCGGUGUAGCGGUGAAAUGCGUAGAUAGCGGGAGGAACACCAGUGGCGAAGGCGGGUUCCUGGCCCAUGACUGACGCUGAGGUGCGAAAGCCGGGGGAGCGAACGGGAUUAGAAACCCGGGUAGUCC